rnacentral:rRNA from 1 species
UGGGGAAUCUUGCACAAUGGGGGAAACCCUGAUGCAGCGACGCCGCGUGAGCGAUGAAGCCCUUCGGGGUGUAAAGCUCUUUCGGCAGGGACGAUUAUGACGGUACCUGCAGAAGCAGCUGCGGCUAACUACGUGCCAGCAGCCGCGGUAAUACGUAGGCAGCAAGCGUUGUUCGGAGUUACUGGGCGUAAAGGGUGCGUAGGCGGCUUCUUAAGUCUGGUGUGAAAUCUCCCGGCUCAACUGGGAGGGUGCGCCGGAUACUGAGGGGCUAGAGUGUGGGAGAGGAAAGUGGAAUUCCUGGUGUAGCGGUGAAAUGCGUAGAUAUCAGGAGGAACACCGGUGGUGUAAACGGCUUUCUGGACCAUAACUGACGCUGAGGCACGAAAGCGUGGGUAGCAAACA